rnacentral:rRNA from 1 species
UACGAAGGGGGCUAGCGUUGCUCGGAAUCACUGGGCGUAAAGCGCACGUAGGCGGCUUUCUAAGUCAGGGGUGAAAUCCUGGAGCUCAACUCCAGAACUGCCUUUGAUACUGGGAAGCUUGAGUCCGGAAGAGGUGAGUGGAACUGCGAGUGUAGAGGUGAAAUUCGUAGAUAUUCGCAAGAACACCAGUGGCGAAGGCGGCUCACUGGUCCGGUACUGACGCUGAGGCGCGAAAGCCAGGGGAGCAAACGGG